rnacentral:rRNA from 1 species
AACGAACGUUGGCGGCGUGGAUUAGGCAUGCAAGUCGAACGCGAAUCCCUGGGCAACUGGGGAGGAGAGUGGCGAAAGGGGCAGUAAGGCGUGGGUAACCUACCCUCCGGGCCGGGAUAGCUUCGGGAAACUGAAGGUAAUACCGGGCGACGCAGCGAGAUCGCAUGGUCUUGCUGCCAAAGGUCCGCCGCCGGGGGAGGGGCUCACGUGGUAUUAGCUAGACGGCGGGGUAACGGCCCACCGUGGCAAAGAUGCCUAGCAGGUGUGAGAGCACGACCUGAGCCACUGGCACUGAGACGCUGGCCAGACACCUACGGGUGGCUGCAGUCGAGGAUCUUCGGCAAUGGGCGCAAGCCUGACCGAGCGACGCCGCGUGUGCGAUGAAGGCCUUCGGGUUGUAAAGCACUGUCGAGGGGGAGGAAGCCGCAAGGUUGACCUAUCCCUGGAGGAAGCACGGGCUAAGUUCGUG